GACGAAGGAUCCAAGCGUUUAUCCGGAUUUAUUGGGUUUAAAGGGUGCGUAGGCGGAUUGAUAAGUCAGUGGUGAAAGCCUGCAGCUUAACUGCAGAACUGCCAUUGAUACUGUCAAUCUUGAAUAUGGUUGAUGUGGGCGGAAUAUGACAUGUAGCGGUGAAAUGCUUAGAUAUGUCAUAGAACACCGAUUGCGAAGGCAGCUCACAAAGCCAUUAUUGACGCUGAGGCACGAAAGCGUGGGGAUCAAACAGG
rnacentral:rRNA from 1 species